rnacentral:rRNA from 1 species
AGCCGCCGCGGUAAUACCAGCGGCCCUAGUGGUGAUCGUUAUUAUUGGGCCUAAAGCGUCCGUAGCCGGUUCGGUAAAUCUCUGGGUAAAUCGAUGGGCUUAACCCAUCGAAUUCUGGGGAGACUGCUGGACUUGGGACCGGGAGAGGUCGGAGGUACUCCAGGGGUAGGGGUGAAAUCCUGUAAUCCUUGGGGGACCACCGGUGGCGAAGGCGUCCGACCAGAACGGGUCCGACGGUAAGGGACGAAGCCCUGGGGCGCAAACCGGAUUAGAUACCCGGGUAGUCCAGGGUGUAAACGCUGCGCGCUUGGUGUUGGGGGUCUCACGUGGGCACCCAGUGCCGGAGAGAAGUUGUUAAGCGCGCCGCCUGGGGAGUACGGUCGCAAGACUGAAACUUAAAGGAAUUGGCGGGGGAGCACAGCAACGGGAGGAGCGUGCGGUUUAAUUGGAUUCAACGCCGGAAAACUCACCAGGGGCGACUGCCACAUGAAAGCCAAGCUGAUGACUUUGCUCGAUUGGUAGAGAGGUGGUGCAUGGCCGUCGUCAGUUCGUACCGUAGGGCGUUCUGUUAAGUCAGAUAACGAACGAGACCCUUGCCCUUAAUUGCCAUGUGUCUCUCCGGAGGCACGGUACUUUAAGGGGACCGCUGGUGCAAAAUCAGAGGAAGGAAAGGGCAACGGUAGGUCAGUAUGCCCCGAAUCCCCUGGGCAACACGCGCGCUACAAAGGCUGGGACAAAGAGCUCCGACACCGAAAGGUGAAGGCAAUCCUGAAACCCACCCGUAGUUCGGAUCGAGGGCUGCAACCCGCCCUCGUGAAGUUGGAUUCCGUAGUAAUCGCAGGUCAACAUCCUGCGGUGAAUAUGCCCCUGCUCCU